rnacentral:rRNA from 1 species
CCAAUAGCGUAUAUUAAAGUUGUUGCAGUUAAAAAGCUCGUAGUUGAAUUUCGGGGUUCUACCGUUGGUCGGGCAAUAGUCUGUACUGGCGUGUGGAAUUUCUACCUUCUGGGGAACCAUCAUGUUAUUAAUUUAGCGUGGUGGGAAACCAGGACCUUUACCUUGAAAAAAUUAGAGUGUUCAAAGCAGGCUUACGUCUGAAUACAUUAGCAUGGAAUAAUAAAAUAGGACGGUGGUCCUGUUUUGUUGGUUUCUGAAUCACCGUAAUGAUUAAUAGGGAUAGUUGGGGGCAUUAGUAUUCAAUUGUCAGAGGUGAAAUUCUUGGAUUUAUUGAAGACUAACUUCUGCGAAAGCAUUUGCCAAGGAUGUUAUCAUUAAUCAAGAACGAAAGUUAGGGGAUCGAAGACGAUCAGAUACCGUCGUAGUCUUAACCAUAAACUAUGCCGACUAGGGAUCGGACGAUGUUAAUUUUUCUUGACUCGUUCGGCGCCUUACG